UACGGAGGGGGCUAGCGUUGCUCGGAAUUACUGGGCGUAAAGCGCACGUAGGCGGCUUUGUAAGUUAGAGGUGAAAGCCCGGAGCUCAACUCCGGAAUUGCCUUUAAGACUGCAUCGCUUGAACAUCGGAGAGGUGAGUGGAAUUCCGAGUGUAGAGGUGAAAUUCGUAGAUAUUCGGAAGAACACCAGUGGCGAAGGCGACUCACUGGACGAUUGUUGACGCUGAGGUGCGAAAGCGUGGGGAGCAAACAGG
rnacentral:rRNA from 1 species